GGCAAGAUGGCCGAGUUGGUUAUGGCGCCAGGUUAAGGAAUUAGUCAUCAUGACCCAUGUUUCCUGGUGGAGAAAUCCUCCUGGGUUCAAGUCCCAGUCUUGUCA
rnacentral:tRNA from 1 species